AAGAGCUGAGGGUGGCUGAGACUCGGGGUUGUUCAGGGCGGGGUGGGCUCUGGACCCAGGAGGCCUGGCACCCAGGUCAGGGCUCCAGGGGAGGCCAGAUGGGCGAAGGCCAAGAAGGGGCCGGGGCUGGUCAGGAAGGGCUCCUGGUGACCAGAGCACUUUGCGUGAGCCAGCGUGGGAGGAAGGUGGGCUGGAUGAGCCAGGGAGGUGCCAGGAGGGGCCUUGGCAGAGGCGACCACCUCCGUCAGCCCCCAGGCCACUGAACCCUGGGUAGCGAGAACCGACAGGGGAGGCUGCAGACAGAGGAGUGGAGGCUCCCCUGCUUUGGGGGCUCUGAGUAGAAGCAUCUAGGGGGUCCCUCAAGAGGCCCCCAAACGCUUCCCCCGAGGAGCUCUACGGUGACUUUGAAGACUUGGAAACAGGGGACAUGCACAAGGGAAAAUCGGGCCCCGACACUCAGAAUGAAGAUAUAGAGAAACAAGGAAGAAAUUGACCCCGACGAAGAAGAAAGUGCCAAGAAAAAGCAUUUGGAUAAGAAGAGAAAAUUGAAGGAGAUGUUUGAUGCGGAAUAUGAUGAAGGAGAAAGCACAUAUUUUGAUGAUCUUAAAGGAGAAAUGCAGAAAGAAGCACAGGAGAAUGGGAGCAGAGGAACUGGAGGCUGCAACUGUGGAAAACUUUUGUGGGGUUUUGCUGCAGAGAGAAGCAGAGAAAUGAAGCAGUUUUUGGUGGAAGAAGUGGAAUCAAAAGGUUUUGAGCUGAAUCACGUAGAAUUUGAAGAUCAAGAUGAUGAAGCCAGAGUUCAGUAUGAUGGUUUUCGACCUGGGAUGUACGUCCGCGUUGAGAUUGAAAAUGUUCCCUGUGAAUUUGUGCAGAACUUUGACCCCCAUUACCCCAUUAUCCUGGGUGGCUUGGGCAACAGCGAGGGAAAUGUUGGACACGUGCAGCCUGAUUUUCGGAUAGCUGCCACAGGAGUUGUCCUUGAUCUGGAUAAAUCCAUAAAAAUUGUGAAGAAAUUAAAGCUAACUGGUUUUCCAUAUAAAAUUUUCAAGAACACUUCAUUUAUUAAGCCUUCUAUAACCCAGUAACAUCUUUGUUGAAACCAGUGGGUGAGAAAGACACCUGGUCAGGAAUGUGGACCACGGGCCACCUCGGGCUCGCCCAUGGUGUCAGACUAAAGACAAACAAGGACUCUCUGUAUAAGGUACUGGUCGUGUGUGUGUUAGUGGAGAUGAAGCCUGUGCCCUACAGACAGGGAGUCACGCAGACACUUUUCUAUAAUUUCUUACGUACUUUGAAUGUUCAAGUAUAAAGUCUAAUGUUAAAUUUGAUUGAACAAUUGUAUAUUUGUGGGAUAUUUUGGAAUGGAACACCAAAAAAUGGUAAUAGUGGUUCUUUCUGGA
rnacentral:lncRNA from 1 species